rnacentral:rRNA from 1 species
UACGAAGGGGGCGAGCGUUGUUCGGAAUUACUGGGCGUAAAGGGCGCGUAGGCGGUCCCUCAAGUCAGGCGUGAAAGCCCCGGGCUCAACCUGGGAACGGCGCUUGAGACUGGUGGGCUAGAGUUCGGGAGAGGAUGGUGGAAUUCCCAGUGUAGAGGUGAAAUUCGUAGAUAUUCGCAAGAACACCAGUGGCGAAGGCGGCUCACUGGCCCGAUACUGACGCUGAGGUGCGAAAGCGUGGGGAGCAAACAGG